UACGAAGGGUGCAAGCGUUACUCGGAAUUACUGGGCGUAAAGGGUGCGUAGGCGGGUCUUUAAGUCAGGGGUGAAAUCCUGGAGCUCAACUCCAGAACUGCCUUUGAUACUGAGGAUCUUGAGUUCGGGAGAGGUGAGUGGAACUGCGAGUGUAGAGGUGAAAUUCGUAGAUAGUUCGCAAGAACACCAGUGGCGAAGGCGGCUCACUGGACUGGUAUUGACGCUGAGGUGCGAAAGCGUGGGGAGCAACAGG
rnacentral:rRNA from 1 species